AGAUUGAACGCUGGCGGCGUGCCUAACACAUGCAAGUCGAGCGGUAACAGGUGUAGCAAUACAUGCUGACGAGCGGCGAACGGGUGAGUAAUGCUUUGGAAUCUUCCCAGUAGUGGGGAAUAACCAGUCGAAAGAUUGGCUAAUACCGGAUACGACGCAUCUCCGCAUGGAGUGUGCGUGGAAAGCUCCGGCGAUGCAGGAUGAGCCCGCGGCCUAUCAGCUUGUUGGUGGGGUAAUGGCCUACCAAGGCGACGACGGGUA
rnacentral:rRNA from 1 species